rnacentral:rRNA from 1 species
GAUGAACGCUGGCGGCGUGCCUAAUACAUGCAAGUCGAGCGAACAGACGAGGAGCUUGCUCCUCUGACGUUAGCGGCGGAAGGGUGAGUAACACGUGGAUAACCUACCUAUAAGACUGGGAUAACUUCGGGAAACCGGAGCUAAUACCGGAUAAUAUAUUGAACCGCAUGGUUCAAUAGUGAAAGACGGUUUUGCUGCCACUUAUAGAUGGAUCCGCGCCGCAUUAGCUAGUUGGUAAGGUAACGGCUUACCAAGGCAACGAUGCGUAGCCGACCUGAGAGGGUGAUCGGCCACACUGGAACUGAGACACGGUCCAGACUCCUACGGGAGGCAGCAGUAGGGAAUCUUCCGCAAUGGGCGAAAGCCUGACGGAGCAACGCCGCGUGAGUGAUGAAGGUCUUCGGAUCGUAAAACUCUGUUAGUAGGGAAGAACAAAUGUGUAAGUAACUAUGCACGUCUUGACGGUACCUAAUCAGAAAGCCACGGCUAACUACGUG